UGCCCAGCCUGCUCCUCGGACUUAUCUUUUAUUCAUGGACAAGCAGUGUUCUCCGCUUUACCAGGACUCAGGCAUCAAUAUUUCAUCUUGCUUAGCCUGCCAGCACCAUCUCUCUCCUGCUUCCCGCUGGCUCUAGGACCCAGAGGGCUGGGUGUGCUGUCGACCUGCAGCCAUAGGACUCUGGGCUGCUUCCUCGGGCCCUGACCUGUCCUCUAUGCCAUCCAUCUGGCAGAGCGGCCCGACCAGGCAUGGCGUCUUUCUGAGCCAGAAGUCUUGCUCACUUUUUGUCUAUGAACCUGAAUGCUGGAAGAAAAGAAGUGACAGCAGCGGUCAGGACCAGGGCUACUUUGUCCUCACCCGACACUCGCCUGUAGACCCUGAGGCCUCCUGUCUGUGCUCAGGACCCUGAGGGCUGGACUGCGCAUCUGGAGGGGCUCCUGGGCCAUGGGGGGCCUCCUGGAAGGGCACAAAGCCCUGAAAUUCAUGUGCUGGUCCCUCUGUGAAGAGAGUUGCUGUGACCCGCUCAGCUGCAGCCCCAGCACUGCUUGUAGGAUGUGCCAUUGUCACCAGCCUGCUGUCUCCUCAUUAGUUCUCCCUCCUCAGUCUUGUCCAGACAGCUUAGACUUCCUGGUCUCUUUCCCAGAGAGGGAUGAGGAAAUGGCAGCCAGAAGAAGAUGUGCUGCAUUUCUGGGGGGACCACGUGGCCUGCAUCUCUCUUCCUCUGUGGCCUCCACCCUUCUCAGAGUCUGCACCAAGUACUGACGACUCCUCCCCGAUGUCAGCCACAGCCACCCAGUUCCAAGCAGGGGAGGUGGUAGCUUUCUCCUCUGCUGGCCUUAGCACAGCCUUGGGGACCCAGAGGAACUUCAUCAUAUUGAUUCGCCAUUGAUAGAACCCAUCUUUAGGCCACUGGUUCUCAAACAUAAGCAUGUAUCAGAAUUGCCUGGCAGGCUUGUUAAAACCUGAAUUACUGGCCCCAACACCAGCUUCUGACUUAAUAAAUAAGGGAUGGGGGCUGAGAGUUUGCAUUUCUAACAAGUUCUUAGGUGAUGCUGAUGUUGUUGCUCUUUCGGGAUCACACUCUGAGAACCACUGUUGUUCUCAGCAAAAACCUCACUUGCCCUUCCAGUCUAAGGGGGUAGAGGAGGAAAGCUGAUCUCAUUGGGGAGAGGG
rnacentral:lncRNA from 1 species